UCCUACGGGAGGCAGCAGUGGGGGAUUUUGCCCGGUUGUGGGGACCCUGAUGCAGCGACGCCGCGUGGGUGAAGAAGCGCCUCGGCGCGUAAAGCCCUGUCAGCAGGGAAGAAAAUGACGGUACCUGAAGAAGAAGCCCCGGCUAACUACGUGCCAGCAGCCGCGGUAAUACGUAGGGGGCAAGCGUUAUCAGGAUUUACUGGGUGUAAAGGGGGCGCAGACGGCGAUGCAAGCCAGGAGUGAAAGCCCGGGGCCCAAACCCGGGACUGCUCUUGGAACUGCGGGGCGGGAGUGAAGGAGG
rnacentral:rRNA from 1 species